GAUGAACGCUGGCGGCGUGCUUAACACAUGCAAGUCGAACGAACUCGGACUUCGGUCCACAUGAGUGAGUGGCGAACGGGUGAGUAACACGUGAGAAACCUGCCCCGAAGUUCGGAAUAACCCAGGGAAACUUGGGCUAAUACCGGGUGCCUUCAUCUGAUCGCAUGGUCGGAUGAAGAAAGAUUUAUCGCUUUGGGAGGGUCUCGCGGCCUAUCAGCUAGUUGGUGAGGUAAUGGCUCACCAAGGCAUCGACGGGUAGCUGGUUUGAGAGAACGAUCAGCCACACUGGAACUGAGACACGGUCCAGACUCCUACGGGAGGCAGCAGUGGGGAAUCUUGCACAAUGGGCGAAAGCCUGAUGCAGCGACGCCGCGUGGGGGAUGAAGGCCUUAGGGUCGUAAACCCCUUUCAGCAGGGACGAAAAUGACGGUACCUGCAGAAGAAGCCCCGGCCAACUACG
rnacentral:rRNA from 1 species